UACGUAGGGCGCAAGCGUUGUCCGGAAUUAUUGGGCGUAAAGAGCUCGUAGGCGGUUUGUCGCGUCUGCUGUGAAAACCUAAGGCUCAACCUUGGGCUUGCAGUGGGUACGGGCAGACUAGAGUGCGGUAGGGGAGUGGGGAAUUCCUGGUGUAGCGGUGAAAUGCGCAGAUAUCAGGAGGAACACCGGUGGCGAAGGCGCCACUCUGGGCCGGUACUGACGCUGAGGAGCGAAAGCGUGGGUAGCAAACAGG
rnacentral:rRNA from 1 species